rnacentral:sRNA from 1 species
GUGUGGUUUAUGGCAAAAAUUGCACUAAUUCCAAUUGUGUGGAUGGUCUUAAUUGCUACUUAGGUGUAUGCAACUGUUCCAGUAAUCAAUAUUACGAUCGAUCGUUUGGAAUUUGUAAAGUCAGAAUAGCUCAUGGAAAUAGUUGCACAGGUACAGAGCAAUGUGUUGUUGGACUCACCUGUACUGGAACAAAGUGUGGAUGUUUGACAAGUCAUUAUUAUGAUUUUAGUUCUUCAACUUGCAGAACGAGACUUGGGCACGGAAGCUACUGUACAACGACAAGCCAGUGUCAUCAAGUUUUUGAAUGUUCUGGCAAUUAUUGCAGAUGUCCUGCCAAUAGCUAUUACUACAAUUCUACAUGUCUAGCAAGAGUGGGUUAUGGUCAAUCCUGUACAAACUCCAACUGUGUAGAUGGAUUAUAUUGCUACUCAGGUGUAUGUAAUUGUUCAAGUAAUCAAUAUUACGAUCGAUCUUUUGGAAUUUGUAA